GCCGACGUGACAGAGUGGCCGAAUGUGCCUGCCUUGAGAGCAGGUGUCUCGCAAGGGACCGCAGGUUCGAAUCCUGUCGUCGGCG
rnacentral:tRNA from 1 species